ensembl:lncRNA
CAGAGACCAAAGUAAAAAUAGCCCCCAAAAUGACCUGACAUUUGACCUAAGAAAGCCUGAGAAAGGAGCCACAGGAGGAGAGAGGGUGGAGACCUGGGGAGAAUGAUUUAACGCUUAAAUCACCAACACUUGUGAUAACAUGAUGGGCCAUAUUAGUUCUCAAAGUACCAUUUUAGGGAGCUACUUUAGCAAGCAGGAAAAUGGGAAAAAGUUAGGGAGUCAAAAGUAACAUGGGAUAAAUAAGCAUGGUAUUCCAAUAUAUAACCCCUAAGGAUCAGAAAUGGUAACAAGAAUUUAAAUAUUAACACUGUUCCAUGGCAUAUAAUGUGUAGAGGAAUGGCAUUUUUCUGGAACACAUCCAGUUCUGUAAUUACUUAACUGACUAAUCCAAUAAAGCCUAAAUUGACUAAACUCCAAGCCCACAACCAAGGGUUUUUCUUUUCUUUGAUGUAUCUUAAAACAUCGUAAAGUACUUUAAACUGUCAUGUACGUGGAUUUAUUAGAAAGCUAAUGGUAUGUAAUUCAACUGCUAUAGUUUUAGAGACUACGAAAAUCAAUGCCAUCUCUUAAAACAAAUACCCAAGUAAAUAGUAAAAUGAUUCAUAGGUCUUCCAAUUAUAGUAUUCACUAGGUAUGUUACUCAGAAAACUGAGGCCUGGUUUUCAAGCUUCUUUGUGGCCAUGAGACCUUUUUCAAAAGCUCUGUUUUACACAAACAUUUCCUAUAAUUCACUCUUUUUAUAACAUAAACAGAUCUGUGACAGGGGUGUGCUAGUAAAUAUUUAACAAGAAACACUUCAAGAAAAACUGAUUUGGAAAUUUGCUGCUUUUUAUAGGGCAAAUGCUCACCACAGCCAUCACUGAAGGAAGACUUGGGAAGAAAUGCACUUUAUCUGUUCCUGUGAGCACCUCUACACCUUGGGAACCUCUGCACCACUCCCAGCUCUCAUUCUCCUCGCAUCAAUACCCCAAGAGUAUCAGUCUGAAAACUAAAAAGCACAAGAAAUAUUUCCUCAUGUAUGUUGGGAAUCUGCAGUGAAAUACUUAAAGCUUUUUCCUCGGGCAGAUCAAGAUAACAACAGAAGAAGAGGUGGACCAUAAAGAAGAAUGAGCACUUAAGAAUUGAUGCUUUCAAAUUGCGGUGACUGUGGUGCUAGAGAAGACUCUUGCGGGUCCCUUGGACUGCAAGCAGAUCAAACCAGUCAAUCCUAAAGGAAAUCAACCGUAAAUAUUCAUUGGGGGGACUGGUGCUAAGGCUGAAGCUCCAAUACUUUGGCCACCUGAUGCAAAGAACCCACUCACUGGAAAAGACUCUGAUGCUGGGAAAGACUGAAGGCAGGAGGAGAAGGGGAUGACAGAGGAUGAGAUGGUUGGAUGGCAUCGCUGACUCAACGGACAUGAGUUUGAACAAACUCCAGGAGAUAGUGAAGGGCAGGGAAGCCUGGUGUGCCGCAGUUCAUGGGGUCACAAAGAGUCGGACACAACGUAGUGACCAAACAACAACAGAAAAAAAGGGUGGACAGAGUCCAGAGUGAAGUACAGACAGGAGCCCAGAAGGUUGUCCUUCCCAGACUGCAGCCUGGCUGACAGGCUGAGCCUGCUCAGGA